AACGAACGCUGGCGGCGUACUUAACACAUGCAAGUCGGACGAGAAAGGAAGCCUCGGCUUCUGAGUAAAGUGGCGUACGGGUGCGUAACACGUAAGUAAUCUACCCUGGACUCUGGGAUAACUCCCCCGAAAGGGGGGCUAAGACUGGAUAGAGACCUGAGGUGCAAGCCUUGGGAGGGAAAACAAGCCUCUGCAUCAUGCUUGUGGUUCAGGAUGAGCUUGGUGGCCCAUUAGCUAGUUGGCGGGGUAAUGGCUCACCAAGGCAACGAUGGGUAGCUGGUCUGAGAGGACGAUCAGCCACACUGGCACUGAGAUA
rnacentral:rRNA from 1 species